UCAAUGCAAAAGGUUUUGCUAGCGUAUUGAAUUAGGGAGCUGAACACUUAGGCAACGACUGUGUUUUAAUUAUUUAAUUAAUAUAUUUUAUACAUUUUUAUUACACUUUGACAUUACGGAGUAUUUUGUGUAGAUUGUAAAAAAAAACAAAAAAACAAAUACAAUUAAUUACGUUUUAAUCCCACUUUGUAUUACAAUAAAAUAUGAAGAAAUCCAACGGGUCUGAAUGCUUAAGCCUUAGUUUCCUUGGUUACUGACGUUUCCAUCCACACAGAGAUAGUUAAUAUGACAUAGGUUAAGCCUUAGUUUCCUUGGUUACUGACGUUUCCAUCCACAUAGAGAUAGUUAAUAUGACAUAGGUUAAGACUUAGUUUCCUUGGUUACUGACGUUUCCAUCCACACAGAGGGAGUUAAUAGGUUAAGCCUUAGUUUCCUUGGUUACUGAUGUUUCCAUCCACACAGAGAGAGUUAAUAGGUUAAGCCUUAGUUUCCUUGGUUACUGACGUUUCCAUCCACACAGAGAGAGUUAAUAGGUUAAGCCUUAGUUUCCUUGGUUACUGACGUUUCCAUCCACACAGAGAGAGUUAAUAGGUUAAGCCUUAGUUUCCUUGCUUACUGACGUUUCCAUCCACACAGAGAUAGUUAAUAUGACAUAGGUUAAGCCUUAGUUUCCUUGGUUACUGACGUUUCCAUCCACACAGAGGGAGUUAAUAGGUUAAGCCUUAGUUUCCUUGGUUACUGACGUUUCCAUCCACACAGAGAGAGUUAAUAGGUUAAGCCUUAGUUUCCUUGGUUACUGACGUUUCCAUCCACACAGAGAGAGUUAAUAGGUUAAGCCUUAGUUUCCUUGGUUACUGACGUUUCCAUCCACACAGAGAGAGUUAAUAGGUUAAGCCUUAGUUUCCUUGGUUACUGACGUUUCCAUCCACACAGAGAGAGUUAAUAGGUUAAGCCUUAGUUUCCUUGGUUACUGACGUUUCCAUCCACACAGAGAGAGUUAAUAGGUUAAGCCUUAGUUUCCUUGGUUACUGACGUUUCCAUCCACACAGAGAGAGUUAAUAGGUUAAGCCUUAGUUUCCUUGGUUACUGACGUUUCCAUCCACACAGAGAGAGUUAAUAGGUUAAGCCUUAGUUUCCUUGGUUACUGACGUUUCCAUCCACACAGAGAGAGUUAAUAGGUUAAGCCUUAGUUUCCUUGGUUACUGACGUUUCCAUCCACACAGAGAGAGUUAAUAGGUUAAGCCUUAGUUUCCUUGGUUACUGACGUUUCCAUCCACACAGAGAGAGUUAAUAGGUUAAGCCUUAGUUUCCUUGGUUACUGACGUUUCCAUCCACACAGAGAGAGUUAAUAGGUUAAGCCUUAGUUUCCUUGGUUACUGACGUUUCCAUCCACACAGAGAGAGUUAAUAGGUUAAGCCUUAGUUUCCUUGGUUACUGACGUUUCCAUCCACACAGAGAGAGUUAAUAGGUUAAGCCUCAGUCUCCAUGUUUAUUUAUGACGGGUAGGAAAGGAAGCAUAGACGUAUCAAAAGGAAAAUGUCUCCUCUGUAGUCUCCAGGAUGCAGACAGACAGCAUUACAGACCACAGGAAGUGUGUAUGUGAGCAAAGAUGUGAACCCAAGAGUCUAACUGUGAUGUCUGUGCUGAUCAGCAGACAACUGUAUAAUGUAUGUGUGGUGGUUUGUCAAGGGUUUGUGUGUGUGUGUAUCUGUGUGUGUAUCUGCAUGUGUAUCUGUGUGUGUGUGUGCGUGUCACUACUGUGUUUGAAGUGUCUGCAUCCAGCCCCGUUGCCAACUUUGCUGAGGGUCAUGUGACCUAGUGGUAAGAACCAGAAGAACAGUGGCUUGAGAAAACGGAUGUUCCCAGUAGGGGUUCCGACCCCAGAUACAACAGUAGGGUUUAGGUCUGCUGCUCUGCUGGGGUGUGUUGUAUUUCUGUGUGAGAGUGACUGGACAAAGCACAACAUCAGCAUAGUGUAGUACAGUGUACGAUUAUCAUUAUUCUAUUCCUACCACACAAUACUUCUGCAUUGCGGCCU